rnacentral:rRNA from 1 species
GUCGUCAGCUCGUGUCGUGAGAUGUUGGGUUAAGUCCCGCAACGAGCGCAACCCUCAUCCUUAGUUGCCAUCACGUUUGGGUGGGCACUCUAGGGAAACUGCCGGUGCUAAGCCGGAGGAAGGCGGGGAUGACGUCAAGUCAGCAUGCCCCUUACAACCUGGGCUACACACGUGCUACAAUGGCUGGUACAGAGGGUCGCGAAGUCGCGAGGCGAAGCUAAUCCCUUAAAGCCAGUCGUAGUCCGGAUCGGAGUCUGCAACUCGACUCCG